UGGCUCAGUUGGUAGAGCAUGGUGUUUGCAACGCCAGGGUUGUGGGUUCGGUUCCCAC
rfam:Salmo salar isolate Sally breed double haploid chromosome ssa23, whole genome shotgun sequence.